UACGGGGGGAGCAAGCGUUGUUCGGAUUUACUGGGCGUAAAGCGUGCGCAGGCGGUUUUGUAAGUCUGACGUGAAAUCCCCGGGCUUAACCUGGGAAUUGCGUUGGAGACUGCAAGGCUGGAGUCUGGCAGAGGGGGGUAGAAUUCCACGUGUAGCAGUGAAAUGCGUAGAGAUGUGGAGGAACACCGAUGGCGAAGGCAGCCCCCUGGGUCAAGACUGACGCUCAUGCACGAAAGCGUGGGGAGCAAACGAAGG
rnacentral:rRNA from 1 species